GCGCGAAAACUUUACAAUGCUGGCAACAGCGAUAAGGGAACCUCGAGUGCCAGGUUACAAAUCUGGCUGUCGAGAUGCCUAAAAAGCAUUUCAUAGCAAGGGCCGGGCAAGACCGGUGCCAGCCGCCGCGGUAACACAUGCGUCUCGAGUGGUAACCUUUAUUAUUGGGUCUAAAUGGUCUGUAGCCGGCCGGAUACGUCUCUUGAGAACUCUGACAGCUUAACUGUCAGGCGUUCAGGAGAGACUGUAUGGCUCGAGGCCGGGAGAGGUGUGAGGUACUGCAGGGGUAGGGGUGAAAUCUUGUAAUCCUUGAUGGAACACCAGUGGCGAAGGCGUCUAACCAGAACGGACCUGACGGCAAGGGACGAAAGCUAGGGGCACGAACC
rnacentral:rRNA from 1 species